rnacentral:rRNA from 1 species
AUGAACGCUGGCGGCGUGUCUAAGGCAUGCAAGUCGAACGAACAUAUUUGUGAUUAUAUCAAUGUUAUGUUAGUGGCAAACGGGUGAGUAACACAUUAGUAACCUACCUCGAAAACGAGAAUAACCCCGCGAAAGCGGGACUAAUACUCGAUAUGUUAAGUCGAUCAAUUCGAUUUAAUAAAGCUACGGCGCUUUGAGAGGGGCUUAUGCAUCAUCAGCUAGUUGGUAGGGUAAUGGCCUACCAAGGCUACGACAAUUAGCGGGGGUGGGAGCACGACCCGCCUCACUGGGACUGAGACACUGCCCAGACUCCUACGGGAGGCUGCAGUCGAGAAUCUUCCCCAAUGCGCGCAAGCGUGAGGGAGCGACGCCGCGUGAUCGAAGAAGCCCUUCGGGGUGGAAAGAUCUUUUAUUUGGGACGAACUUAUGACGGUACCAAAUGAAUAAGGGGCUGCUAACUCUGU